rnacentral:rRNA from 1 species
GAUGAACGCUGGCGGCGUGCCUAAUACAUGCAAGUCGAGCGAACAGACGAGGAGCUUGCUCCUCUGACGUUAGCGGCGGACGGGUGAGUAACACGUGGAUAACCUACCUAUAAGACUGGGAUAACUUCGGGAAACCGGAGCUAAUACCGGAUAACAUGUUGAACCGCAUGGUUCAACAGUGAAAGACGGUCUUGCUGUCACUUAUAGAUGGAUCCGCGCCGCAUUAGCUAGUUGGUAAGGUAACGGCUUACCAAGGCAACGAUGCGUAGCCGACCUGAGAGGGUGAUCGGCCACACUGGAACUGAGACACGGUCCAGACUCCUACGGGAGGCAGCAGUAGGGAAUCUUCCGCAAUGGGCGAAAGCCUGACGGAGCAACGCCGCGUGAGUGAAGAAGGUCUUCGGAUCGUAAAACUCUGUUAUCAGGGAAGAACAAAUGUGUAAGUAACUAUGCACGUCUUGACGGUACCUAAUCAGAAAGCCACGGCUAACUACGUG